rnacentral:misc_RNA from 1 species
GAAAUGCGAUAAGUAAUGUGAAUUGCAGAAUUCAGUGAAUCAUCGAAUCUUUGAACGCACAUUGCGCCCGCCAGUAUUCUGGCGGGCAUGCCUGUCCGAGCGUCAUUUCAACCAUCAAGCCCCCGGGCUUGUGUUGGGGACCUGCGGCUGCCCGCAGGCCCUGAAAACCAGUGGCGGGCUCGCUGUCACACCGAGCGUAGUAGCAAUCACCUCGCUCAGGGCGUGCUGCGGGUUCCGGCCGUUAAACAGCCUUACAAAACCCAAGGUUGACCCCGGAACAGGUAGGAAGACCCGCUGAACUUAAGC